rnacentral:pre_miRNA from 2 species
AAUUUUUCCUAGACGGAAAAAGUGUUCAUCCAGGAUGAAAAUUUUUCAUAGACGGAAAAAGUGUUCAUCCUGGAUGAACACUUUUUCCGUCUAGGAAAAA